rnacentral:rRNA from 1 species
GUAGGGAAUAUUGGGCAAUGGAGGCAACUCUGACCCAGCCAUGCCGCGUGCAGGAAGACGGUCCUCUGGAUUGUAAACUGCUUUUGAAUGGGAAGAAACGCACUUUUGCGAAAGUGUUUGACGGUACUAUUAGAAUAAGCACCGGCUAACUCCGUGCCAGCAGCCGCGGUAAUACGGAGGGUGCAAGCGUUAUCCGGAUUUAUUGGGUUUAAAGGGUGCGUAGGCGGCUUGAUAAGUCUGGGGUUAAAGGCGGCAGCUUAACUGUACGCAUGCCCUAGAUACUGUUGAGCUUGAGUGACCUGGAGGUAGCUGGAAUUCCCUGUGUAGCGGUGAAAUGCAUAGAUACGGGGAGGAAUACCGAUUGCGAAGGCAUGUUACUACGAGUAAACUGACGCUGAUGCACGAAAGCGUGGGGAUCAAACAGGAUUAGAAACCCUGGUAGUCC